GGGGAGAUCGAAGUUUUCAAUCAACACCCACGGAGUGGCAGCGCGCUGUACUCCUUUGCCUCUGUUUAUGCCAAGCUCCUCGCUGUCUGAAGGGAGAAAAAAAGAUCAGCUGAAAUCCUUGGAGAUUCCCAACUUAACUCGUUGGUGAAACUUCUUGGUGAAGAGGAAAACUCAAAGAGAGGACUGAAUUGCUGUGCCCUGGGCUGUGCUCUUACUGGGAGAAGGCACAGAUUCCUAGGGAGAGGUCCAGCCUCCCGUGAAGAGGUCUGGUGCUCCCUCAACUGGUGGAGGGUGAGAGCUGAAGAAAACAAAAGUAAAUCUGCUACAGCACUAGGGAGAGUGUCCCCUACACCACGCCGGGGCAAGACAGUAGAGUUGGCCCUGAAGGUGUAGAUGUGGGAGAUCUGACCCUGAGGACAUGAAAGCGGGAGGGCUGGUCUAGUCCCUGUGCUACAAAGGGUGAACUCACCAAGGCAAUGCAGGAGAGCGCACCCUGGUGGUGAGGACAAGGGAGAGCUCGUGUACUGACCAACCCUGCAACUACCGAGGCCCAGAACCAGGGUUAUGCAUUGGUCCACUCCAGUAUCCAUCCCAUCUGUGAACUGCUGGAGCAGAUGAAAAGACCCGUCCUACGGACCCAAAGCCACAGGAUCUCCACAACACAGGGCAACAGCAGCAUAACCAAAAGGAGUCCCAGCACUGAUAGUGUAGCAGAAACCAGAGGCCUUGGAAGACCAAUGACUCUUUACAAUGAACACUUACUUGAAAGUAAAGAUAUAGGGACAAAAGGGUUUAACUGUGUGACUCAUCGUGUCACACUACAGCUUCGAUGGCGAGAUUUUUUUUUUUUCGCUUUUAUUUCUUUUCUUUUUUCUCUUAAUCUUUAUCUGGCAGGGGUUGGGGGGUGGGGGAAGUAGAGGGCUACAGAGAGCAGAUAUGCAGGGCCAGGAAAUGAAUGGGAUCUAGAUGCAUGAUGUAAAACACACAAAAAAUAAAUAAAUAAAAAGAAAUCUUAAAAAUAAAAAAAUACAUACUUCCAAUGCAAUAAGAAAAUUACUUUGGCCUUUUUGUUGUAUGUUUUAUGACUGAAUAAACAUUUCUUUGCAAUAGUU